rnacentral:rRNA from 1 species
AGCAGCCGCGGUAAUUCCAGCUCCAAUAGCGUAUAUUAAAGUUGUUGCAGUUAAAAAGCUCGUAGUUGAAUUUCGGGAUUGACACAUCGGUCGUGCCUUAAGGGGUAUGAACUGGUGUAGUCAAUUUCUCACCUUCUGGAGAACCGCGAUGCCCUUAAUUGGGUGUCGCGGGGAACCAGGACCUUUACUUUGAAAAAAUUUAGAGUGUUUAAAGCAGGCAUUUUGCUUGAAUACAUUAGCAUGGAAUAAUAAAAUAGGACGGCAUGAUUCUAUUUUGUUGGUUUCUAGGAUCACCGUAAUGAUUAAUAGGGAUAGUUGGGGGGCAUUAGUACUCAAUUGUCAGAGGUGAAAUUCUUGGAUUUAUUGAAGACUAACUACUGCGAAAGUCAUUUGCCAAGGAUGUUUUCAUUAAUCAAGAACGAAAGUUAGGGGAUCGAAGACGAUCAGAUACCGUCGUAGUCUUAACCAUAAACUAUGCCGACUAGGAAUCAGACGAUGUUAAUUUUUUCAAUGACUCGUU